rnacentral:rRNA from 1 species
ACUUAAAUUGAAGAGUUUGAUCAUGGCUCAGAUUGAACGCUGGCGGCAGGCCUAACACAUGCAAGUCGAGCGGUAGCACAGAGAGCUUGCUCUCGGGUGACGAGCGGCGGACGGGUGAGUAAUGUCUGGGAAACUGCCUGAUGGAGGGGGAUAACUACUGGAAACGGUAGCUAAUACCGCAUAACGUCGCAAGACCAAAGUGGGGGACCUUCGGGCCUCAUGCCAUCAGAUGUGCCCAGAUGGGAUUAGCUAGUAGGUGGGGUAACGGCUCACCUAGGCGACGAUCCCUAGCUGGUCUGAGAGGAUGACCAGCCACACUGGAACUGAGACACGGUCCAGACUCCUACGGGAGGCAGCAGUGGGGAAUAUUGCACAAUGGGCGCAAGCCUGAUGCAGCCAUGCCGCGUGUGUGAAGAAGGCCUUCGGGUUGUAAAGCACUUUCAGCGGGGAGGAAGGCGGUGAGGUUAAUAACCUCAUCGAUUGACG